GUAUACGACCUUCAGAGGCCUUCCAACUUCUGCUAUUAACCUCUUGGAAGAAAGGGCCAGGUGAAGAAGCCAGGCUAACCUCUUGGAGGAUGAGACCGCAAGGAGGAGAUCAAGACAGCCCAGCCCACAGCCAGCCUCAGUGCCAGGUGUGUGAGUGAGGCCAUCUUGAACCUUCCAGCCCAACUCUCCCUCCAGCUGAACUCAACUGUUCAAAUGAGUCUAAAGCAGCAGAGGAACUGUCCAGCUAACCCAUAGAAUCGUGAGAAAUAAUACACCGUAGUUGUUUUAAACCACAACAGGUGGUUAAUUAUGCAACCAAAGCUAACAAACAGAUUGUGUUCUGAAUUUUUCGUGUAACUGCACAUCGUCAUUUCCCCCACGUUAUUAAUAUAUUUAUUAAGGUUCUUUUGUUUGCAACCAUGGGAAACCAGUUUAAAUAAAAGGGGGAUACAUUAGAAGGUUCCUGGGGUAUUUCAAGCUACAGAAGGUAAAGUUGGGGAGGGGAGAAGUCAGGGCCACCAUGGGGGUGUCAACAGUAGGAGGUCACAAGUGUCUCUCCAGAAAACUGCCAUUAACAAUUAAUGUUAAUGACUUCUGGACAACUAACUUCAAGUUCUCAGCACAGGCUUGGGCCGAGCGUCUACCUCUGGAUCUUUUAGCUAUGAUGGGGGGCGGGGCAGGAUGCAGAGACAGGAGACAGAAGGGAAAACAGCCCUGAGUCGGUGGAAAUCCAGUAUGGAAGCCGGAACCAGGAGCGCGGGCCGCCGCGCCGGCGGCGACAUCUUGCUCGGCAGGAAAGCGCGGGGAGAGCGGGCGGCUCCGAGCUGCUGCGCCACGCGCGCAGAGGACCGGCCGGCGCCGCGGGGCCGGGGGCGCACGGAGGAGGCGACAGCGCGGCACUGAACGGCGGGCACUCGGGGCCGGCGGGCGGCACCAUGUCCCCGGGGAGCGGCGUGAAGAGCGAGUACAUGAAGCGCUACCAGGAGCCGCGCUGGGACGAGUACGGGCCGUGCUACCGCGCGCUGCUCCACUACCGCCUGGGCCGCCGGCUGCUGGAGCAGGCGCACGCGCCCUGGCUCUGGGACGACUGGGGCCCGGCCUGCGCCUCGGACGACUCGGCGUCGUCGGCGUCCUCGGGCAACGGGGCCCCCGCGCCCCAGUGCGCCCCGGCCUCGCCGCCGCCGCCCGUGGAGCCAGAGGCGCGCGAGGAGUCGGAGCAGCGGGCGCGCGCGGCCCCGGAGGAGGAGCGGGGCGCGGAGGCCGCGGGGGACGCGGAGGCCAGGGACGCGGAGGACGCGGAGGACUCGGCGCUGCCAGCACUGCCAGUGAAAGACAUAAAAGAAAAACCUGAACGACAGAUCGGGACCAGAGAGCCUGACAAAUUACCCAGCAGUACCAGACCUCAACAACCACCAAGUGCCUUACCUGCCAGAGCAAGCAGGAGAGCGGUCAAGAGUCCUCAAAGGUCAUCAACUAAAAUAAAAGAACAUAAGCAUCCGUUUGCCCUUUAUGGGUGGGGAGAAAAACAGACGGAUACGGGAAGCCAGAAAACUCACAACGUCUGUGCUUCUGCCCCAGUGCAUGAGAUUCAUGAAUCGGCGCUGCGAGCCAAGAGCAGAAGGCAGGUGGAGAAGAGGCGGCUGGCGGCCCAGAGGCAGAGGGCUCACUCCGCCCACGCGGACAGAACCAGGCGGGCCAAGCCUGCCUCGUCGGAGAACCCGUGGAUGACGGAGUAUAUGAGAUGCUACUCCGCCAGAGCUUGAGGGCAGGGACAGUUGCUCAGACAACCUCUUUCAAAAAGUGUAAAUGAAAGAAAGCAAAAAACAAAACAAAAACCAUCAAAAGAAACUGGACACAGGUUUAAGAAACCAGCUGAUUAUGCAAGAUUUUUCUUAGGGAAUUUCCAAAGGAUUGUCUCUUUUGAUGAAUCCUGGUCACCUACCUCAGCAGUAGGGUGACAGCUGAAAGCCAUAGACAUUUGGUUAUUUAUGAGAAUUCCCUAAAUCUUUGACAUUCUUAGAAGGAUUUUAUUUUAGAGCAUCUUAAUCUUUUAAGAUACUGACACCAGACGCCUUUAAAUGGCUUACAGAUUCUUAACUUCAGUAUCUUCCCUCAGUUUAGGUGGAGCCUGUGUUGCUCCUGUUCUGAACGACUUCUGAGAUUCCAUAGCUGGUAAGAUCACACCAGCUUGUGGCAGAAGACUCAUUUUCCUUAUGUGUCGAUUUCUUUGUGAAAGAAUAUCAAGUUAAAAGUGAGUUUCAACGCUAGUACUGAUUCCAUGUAUAGUGAAAGUAGAGCUUUGGUAGUUCCUAACAAACUUUUCUUUUGCAUUUCAGUUCAGCACCACUUCACGUGGACUGUGAUAUUUAAGAAUUACUGGGCUGGGUGAGGGUCAUCUUUUCUCUUUAAAUUGUCAUCUAAGCACUUAUUAAUAGUUUAAUAGUUCAAGCGCAUUCCAGUAAACAAAGUGCCAGUGCAGUGUGUUUCGAAGUAGUACUGGUUUCUUUUGAGUCAAAGACUGUCACUUUUUAUUGUGAGAUUUUUUAAGAACACAUAAUGGGGUACCAUUCACUCGCUGCAGUCUGGCCUUUUGACACACACCCACUGUGGACUUUUGCCUCCUCUCUGAUUGUUUGGCCGUGACAUUUAGAAUUUAAUUGUCCUGCUCGUUGGGGAUGGGGACAGAUUUUAAGAUACCUGCUAGAGAUGUGGACCACCCCUACUUUCUCCUCCAUAGAACUCACCAGUAACAAAGCCUUGGUGAUGUACAUUGUUCAGACUUUCGGUUGAAAUACAUUCCUCCUAGGCUCCUAGCCGGUGGGUCUUGUGUAGAACCUAACGUGAGAGGAUGCUGGUGUGUGCGUGGGCAGAGACGUAUGUAAAUGAGGUGCUCCUUGUCUCUAGUACAUUGGCUUUUGUGGUAGAAAGUGAUUUUGAGAAACACUGGUUUCCAUCCAGGAGAGACAAGAAUCUGCAGGAAGGAUGAAUGGUAAACUCCUCAUAGGAGAGAAGGAAGUACUUUGCCAACUUAGCACGUGCAGAUGUGUGAACGAAAAGCUGGUGUUUGAUGUGAGUUUGAGCAUUUCCUUGACAUUUUUUACUCUGGGUCUUUGAAGUAUUAUGGUCAAUUUUUAGAACACAAAUGUUUUAUUCCAUGUAAAAUCUUCACACAGUAUCAUCUUACACAACUGUAUUAAGUUUUGCAAACUCAUACUGAAGAAUCAUGAGCUUUUAAAAAAAAAAAAAAAACUCUAAAAAUAUUUGCAUCGUUUUUAGGUGAAUACAUCGUGAGGUCUCCUGGUCACUGCGAUGUAUAUUUAGUACGAAGGAGGUCUGUGUGUUGUCCAAAACAAGCUCGCUAGUGAUUCUGGUGAAUCUUGCUGUUAUUAUAGUCCUUAAACAUUGCAGGUACCUAAAGAUGAAAUUCCUGUGGCAUCGUGAUGGUGGAAACUGUUUCUUUAAAAUCACUUCCUGCAUGUUCGGUUUCAGCCACUGGCUCUGGCGUUCCAUUCCCGUUGCAGCUGACAAUCUUAGGAAGGGGCCGAGGGGAGUAGCUCGGGUCCACACGGAUGGACUUAGAAACCCGACCCUUCGAGGCUCUGAGCAAGCCAGACUCUCUCCUUUAGAAAACAGACUCAUAUUCAAUGUGCUUACUUAUUACUGCAAACUCCAGAUGCAGAUCUGGAAGAACCUAGAGGGCAAUACUGGCCAAUUUUUCCCCAUUUUUAAGUAGAGGACAAAUGAACAAAAUUUUUAAAGUACUUUUAAUGUGCAUGAACAAUGAAUGAGUCAAUAUGAAGUACUUGUGAGUCCCCUUCCUAUGUCCAAGUCAUUAGUUGGUUAGGGUUUCUUUACUUUCCUUUCUCUUUAGGGGUAAAGAUUAUCUUUUAAGCCUACAAAAUGUUUUAAGUUGUAACAAUUUGAUGUCCUACCUUUUUUCCUUCUCAUUCUAGAAACUGAUGUUGUGAUCGUGUUCCCAUUUCUUUGGACAACUUAUAACACGGCAAGCAGGACUGAUUUCCCAGGGAUGCCCGCGGUGUGCCCUUCAUAACAACAGUGCUCCUGUAGCCUGUGACUGCUGUUUAUAGAUUAAAGGACACCUUCUUCAUGACUGCCACGGUUCAGGAAGCCUGGCGGCCCACGGGCAGGGGACACCACGCCUGCUGCCUGGGAUCUUGCUGUGAGUGUGGCUUCAACUUAAACCCAGAACACUGGCCGUGUUGGCUGUGACCGGGAGUCUGAACCAGUUCAGAGUGACCGCUCGUGACAGCGAACGUUGCCCUUAAUCCAUCUUUUACUGGUUUCAUGACCUAGGUGUUGACUAGGGCCCGAGACAGCCUGUCGCACUUGAGGAUUUCAAGGGAACUGGAGGUUCUUCUGUCUCUGCGUGGCCUUCUGCUGCUUGAGAGGAAUCCUGGGGCUCAGGACCAAAUGCCUGCUUCCUGCCAAGAGCUCCCCACCAGCAGCCCGCCUUGCUGGGGGCCCCGGCCUGGCACCACACACCCCUCCCUCACGGAUGGAGCCUGACACCGCCCACCGUGCUUUCUGCGACGUUUUCCGUGCACGCGACUCGUACCCACGCCCGGCCGAGUGCUCUGCUGUGUGGCGUCACCCUGUGAGAACGGCUGUGACAACGGGUGAGACGCCAUCUCACCGCAACGUCCCCGGGGACAAACACCAGACCCGGCCUAAAGCCGAGGCCGCUACAUGGAUCCUCAAACGUCACUACAUGGGGUAAGAGUCUGAAGUCACGGGCUAGUGCUUAAAGCCAACAUUACUCCUGGAAACAAAAAGAGGAAGACAGGAAGGCCAGAGCACGGUAAUCGGAUAGUUACAGAUCAAGUAAAAAAAAUCCGAGCACCUAAGGACAUUUUUCUUCUAUGCUUGCUCAAGGACUCAGUCAAAUAAACAGAGAAGAGAAGCAGCACAGGCGAGGGCCAGCCGGGUCAGGAGUUCAUUGGCAGACAGCACAGGAGUGUUGCCACAGUAACUGCAGACAUUAGAUGCUGCUGGGCGAGGGGCGUCAGGCAGAGACAACCCUCCUGCGGGCGAAGGGUGACAGCCACGGCACAGGCCCCCAGGCACUGCCUCACCUUCACGGAGAGAUAUCCGACUCACAGGCGACUUCGGUACGGCUUCAGCCACCAAAUACAAAACGACUGACAAGCAUUCGAAAACCAGUUGGCAUGCAUUUUCAGUCAUGCAUUUUUUUUUUUUUUUGUGGAACGCGGGCCUCCCUCUGCCGUGGCCUCUCCCUUUGCGGAGCACAGGCUCCGGACGCGCAGGCUCAGCGGCCAUGGCUCACGGGCCCAGCCGCUCCGCGGCAUGUGGGAUCCUCCCAGACCGGGGCGCGAACCCGGUUCCCCUGCAUCGGCAGGCGGACGCGCAACCACUGCGCCACCAGGGAAGCCCCAGUCAUGCAUUUUUAACUGAUAAUAUUUUCAGUGUACUGAAGGCAGGGACAGAAAGGCAAUUUAUCAAGCUUGCAGGUUUCUUUUUCUUUUCUUUUUAAAUCAAAGCAUGGUUUCACAGUGAUGAAAUCAACUUAUUUCCACCUCCAACAACUUGGCACUAAAGGUAUGUUAAACAUGGAAAAUACUCUUACCAGUUAAAAUAAGAACGCUUUAUAGUCCUUGAAAUUCCAGUAAACGCGUGUGUUUGAAAUGUCCAUGAAUUUUGAAGAAAAAAAAGGUGCCAGUCAACAGAAAUCGCGGUGCCUUGUCCUACUGUGCCUUGCUGUGGAGACCACAGGGCUGUCCCCCGGGGCCUGCCGUCCACUUCCUGGGAGUGGCAGCCCUGGCCUCUGCAUCUCGGGCCCCUGUACUCUGAGCCACACUGCAGAAGGCUAUUUGGAAGCUUAAAUCAGAUGUUAAAUGUGAGAACACCUUUAAGUUGUAAAAAAGUGCUAUGCCCCUUCGAGGCUUUACGAUAGACAUUUCAAAUGACAGUAUUAAAAAUGAGGAAUCUGUUAAACAAAAAUUCUCCAGUAAUUUCUCAAUAAACUAUGUUUUUCUGUAAAAGAAGAAAAGAAAAGUGGGCAUGAAAUCCUAUACUUUGAUCGGAGACACACUGAACAACCAACGCAGCCUUGGGUACUGGAUUUCUCCAAGUGCAGAAGUGUAUUUCUCACGGCUCAGAUAGGGCUAAAGUCUGAAGAAUCAGGUAAAAACAUGUAUAAACAACCUAAAUAGAAAACCGAAUUUAAAAGCUUCAGGUGAAAUCAUUUCAUCUUAAAAUUAGAGUAGGAAAAACUAUUAUUUGCCAUUCCUCUCCUACUGCUUUGAACAGGGGGCAGUUACUGAGUUUUUAUAGCUCUGGCUUCUGCUUCAACGUGAGGACCUGUCAACUGUAACAGAGCGUGUGUAAUUAACAGAAUUGAGAGAUUCGACACAUUUCACCCCAAGCAUUUAUGGCCCAUCCUACAAGUCUUGGACAGCUGAGCAGGCCUAGGCCUGAAAGCAGACGUUUAUCGACAAAUCGUCUGUUCCAUCGCUUCUCACAGCCUCAAGUGACUGGUCAGUGCGCACGGACAGCACAGCAGUCUGGACGCCUGCUUGCCUACAGGCUGUACCGUCAGGUACCAAGAGGCCAACUAAGAGUGCACAGACAGCGUUCCCAAGAAAUACUGAUCCGAACAACAAAACCUGCACCCUAAACAGCAAAGCUCUUAACCCUAGAAUGUAAAACAAGACGACUGGGUAACUAGGCACUGAAGUCAACAGUCGCAAAGGAGGAGGCUGCUCUGAGAGUUAUGAUUUUAGACAGUUCCAUUACCAUGUGUCUUGGAAAGAGAGUUGUGGACUGAAACUUGGACUCCAAAUGCCUCCCAAGGUUUGGGAAGUUCUCAGCCAUCAUUUCUUUAAACUAGCUUCCCUCCCUCCCUCUCUUCUCCUCCCGGGGCUCCAGUGAUGUGUAGACUGUCUCUUAACGGUGUCCUGUAAGUCCUGGAGGCUUUUCAUUCUUUACGGCCCCCCCCCCCCACCCCGCUUUGCUUCUCUUUGAAUAAUUUCAAAUGAUGUGUCUUCAAGCUCACUGUUUCUUUCUUCUGUUGCUGUUGAAGCUCUGUAUUAAACUCUUCGGUUCAGUCGUUGUAUUCUUCAGCU